rnacentral:rRNA from 1 species
AUUGAACGCUGGCGGCAGGCCUAACACAUGCAAGUCGAGCGGAGGAAGGGAGCUUGCUCCUGGAUUCAGCGGCGGACGGGUGAGUAAUGCCUAGGAAUCUGCCUGGUAGUGGGGGAUAACGUCCGGAAACGGGCGCUAAUACCGCAUACGUCCUGAGGGAGAAAGUGGGGGAUCUUCGGACCUCACGCUAUCAGAUGAGCCUAGGUCGGAUUAGCUAGUUGGUGGGGUAAAGGCCUACCAAGGCGACGAUCCGUAACUGGUCUGAGAGGAUGAUCAGUCACGCUGGAACUGAGACACGGUCCAGACUCCUACGGGAGGCAGCAGUGGGGAAUAUUGGACAAUGGGCGAAAGCCUGAUCCAGCCAUGCCGCGUGUGUGAAGAAGGUCUUCGGAUUGUAAAGCACUUUAAGUUGGGAGGAAGGGCAGUAAGUUAAUACCUUGCUGUUUUGACGUUACCAACAGAAUAAGCACCGGCUAACUUCGUG